rnacentral:rRNA from 1 species
UACGAAGGGUGCAAGCGUUACUCGGAAUUACUGGGCGUAAAGGGUGCGUAGGUGGUCGUUUAAGUCCGUUGUGAAAUCCCUGGGCUCAACCUGGGAAUGGCAGUGGAUACUGGACGGCUAGAAUGCGGUAGAGGGUAGUGGAAUUCCCGGUGUAGCAGUGAAAUGCGUAGAUAUCGGGAGGAACACCAGUGGCGAAGGCGGCGACCUGGGCCAAUACUGACGCUGAGGAGCGAAAGCGUGGGGAGCGAACAGG